CUCUUAAAUUGGAAAUAAAAUGGUGACUUGCCUUUUAUGAUCAAUGUGUUCAAACACUUUUUGUUCUUAUUAGUUAAUUUUGAGUUGGCGUUCUCUCCAUUUCAUGCUAUACUGUUUCUUGGUUUCUUCCUAUCAAAGAGGAAAGUGCAAAGUCUUUUGAAAUGGUGAAAGAAUUCAGAAGACAGUUAUUCAUUGAUUACUCAUUUGAAGCAUGUAUCUCACUGUAUGUACAGUCGGUUUUGAUCUUCUGUUUUUAAUUUGGGGUGAUGAUGUAAGGUUUUAUCUUUAAAAUCUGAUUUCAACCGCAGUUUAGCUCCACUAUUGUGGAAUCAGUCACUCCGACAAUCUAAAGAUAGCUAAUCUCUUUUCUGGUUAUUGAUUUAGAGCUAGAGCCUUCUAAUUUUUCUCAUUUAUAGGUAGACUACAAAGAAAUUUUAGUAAAACAGAAACCAAGACACCCUCAUCAAAGCUCUGCAAAAAUAGAAGAUUUUAAUGAUCAUAAUGCAAUUCCACCUCAAGGUUUUGCCCGGUCUCUUGUUAUCAUUUGAUUGUCCUUGAGCUUAAGGAGAAGUCAUUUCAGUGUAGACCUUUUUGUUCAUUAAAUAGAAGCAAUUUUAAAGAAGAAAUAAGAAUCAGCUUGGUCACAGCGACAAUGAAGAAGACCAUAGUAUGGACUUGACUCAAAGCAGUGUCCUACUGGCAUUAUGCUAACAAACACCAUGCUGCUGUGUCUGCUAAAUCCCCUUAACUGCUUCCAGGAUUAAGUCUAAAGAGAUGAUACAGGCCAAUCUGCUUCCUUUUUUGUCUGCCUUCUGUGCUAACUCCACCAGCCCUCGCCCUUUAAAAUCUUGACCAAGUUCAACAAUUGACAAAUUUCUUAUUAUUGAUUCCACUUUUCAAUUGAGCAUAGCUAUUUUGUGGAGGUGGAAAUGAGUAUUAUUGCUGAAGAGCUUCCUGUUUGCACCAAAAGUCCUUGCAACACCUGAUACUGCAAACAUCACUGAAAUGUAAUGGUGAAAGGUACACUAUCCCAUUUCCGAUGAAUUUGAGGACGAGAAACCUUAAUGAUUUGCAUCUUAAUAUUUAGCUUCCUGAGGUUUAUACCUUUAUAGUGUUGUGCCGUAACGCCCCAUGUUCCUCGGCUGAUGGUGCUAUGAUUGAACAGCUUCAUCACCUGCAUUGUCGUCUUCUCAUUUUAUAUUCUGCAACAUUUUGUCUCUUAGGAUGCUGUUAGCGAGAAUUCUUUUAUCCACCGGAGAAGUUUAGACGCACAACUUGGGUCUGACAUAUUAGUUUUGCCACCUUUGAAUUUUUCCUCCGUUCAUAACUAACUUUUAUCUAUACUUCUGUACUGUUAGCAGAGAUAGAUACUAGAGCUACCAGCCUCGAGAGAAAAACAAGGCUCAUCCACCUAAUGUGUUCCAGGUCGUGGCCAUCAAGCAACUUGACCAAAAUGGAUUGCAAGGAAAUAGGGAAUUUCUUGUUGAGGUCCUGAUGUUAAGCCUACUUCACCAUCCACACCUUGUCAACUUGAUUGGAUAUUGUGCUGAUGGAGAUCAGAGAUUUCUAGUUUACGAGUUCAUGCCGUUAGGAUCACUGGAAGACCAUCUACAUGAGCUUUCACCCGACAAAACACGACUAGACUGGAAUACAAGAAUGAAAAUAGCUGCCGGUGCUGCCAAGGGCCUUGAGUACUUGCAUGAUAAAGUGAAUCCCCCUGUUA